CAGCAUGUUUCCAAGGGCUGUGGCUGGUGUAGCCAUGGGAUCUCCAACUGCAUGCGAGAGCAACCUGGAGAGACUUUGACAGCUCAGGUCAACCCAAUACCUGUGGCUGCCACUCACCUUUCCUAUAAGG
ensembl:snoRNA small nucleolar RNA, H/ACA box 44